rnacentral:rRNA from 1 species
UACGUAGGGGGCAAGCGUUGUUCGGAAUUACUGGGCGUAAAGCGCGCGUAGGCGGAUUGGCAAGUCAGAUGUGAAAGCCCCGGGCUCAACCUGGGAACUGCAUUUGAUACUGCCAGACUAGAGUACAGAAGAGGCAAUCGGAAUUCCCAGUGUAGCGGUGAAAUGCGUAGAUAUUGGGAGGAACACCAGAUGCGAAGGCGGAUUGCUGGGCUGAUACUGACGCUGAUGCGCGAAAACCAGGGGAGCGAACGGG